CUUAGGCAGGGCUGGCGGGGGCACCUGGGGAGGGGCCCCUCGAAGGCAGCAAGGACUAUGAACCGUGGGAGGGGGAGGCAACUGGGACUGGAGGACUGAAGAACUUUGUCCCUGUUGACCUUUCCCAGAGGGGAAGGAUCAGCUCUGGCUUCAUUCUCUGGGCACACGCCCUGGCACCUGCUGCUCGCAUGCUGGAUGACCUUGGGCAUGUCACUUCCUUACGCUGGAGAGUCUCCUGCCUUUGGCCAAUGCCACAGCCGCGGGGAAGAAGGGACAGUCAAAAAUGGGAGUCAAGCUUGUGUCCUCCUGGAAGCGACAUAGUGGCUGGAAGGGCCGCACUGGGAAGAUGCCUUUCAAAGAGGCACACUGCCUGCACGUUUAACCUGCACUGCGUGGCGUCUCACAUAACCACCAGUCUCACGUAACACGGAUCAGAAGCUCGCAUCUAAUUUGUUCACUGCUAUAUGCGCCGUACCUAGAAUAUCACCUGGCAUACAGCAGGCACUCAAUCUGUUUGUUGAGUGAGUGAAUGAAUGAAAAAAAUGGAAGCUCAAGCAGAUCUCCUUGCCUCCUGCUCUGCCCACUUUGGGGAAAACACCGAGGGCCACCAGGAGAAGGCAUCUGAGGAAGCAGUCCGGGAGCAUCCCCAGGGCAGUGAGCUGGCCGCCUCCCAGAGACCCGGGAAGCACAGAGGCCACGGCCAAGGCUGCGCACGACAGGGACAGGAGCUUCCCAGCAGCCCCUGCUCAGAGACAAGAUCACAUAUGCAACGGUUUGGGAUUUGGGGUUUGGCGCUGCUUCCCAUUCCCCUCCCACCCGCACCCCGCAUCAUAUCGGCGCAGGCCCUCCGGCUGCAGAGUGCCCAGUUCUCCCCCAGUCUCUGCUCCCAUUCCCAGAGCCAGCUUCCUUCCACCCCACACUGACACUCCCAGAGCUCAUCUGGAACCUUCUGAUUUGCAUCUCCAAAGAAAUAAAAUAAAUUUCACUAAA